UACGGGGGGGGUAAGCGUUGUUCGGAAUUACUGGGCGUAAAGGGCUCGUAGGCGGCCAACUAAGUCAGACGUGAAAUCCCUCGGCUUAACCGGGGAACUGCGUCUGAUACUGGAUGGCUUGAGUUUGGGAGAGGGAUGCGGAAUUCCAGGUGUAGCGGUGAAAUGCGUAGAUAUCGGGAGGAACACCGGUGGCGAAGGCGGAUCUCUGGGCCUGUCCUGACGCUCAGGCGCGAAAGCUAGGGGAGCAAACAGG
rnacentral:rRNA from 1 species